rnacentral:piRNA from 1 species
UUAUUGAUAACGAUUUGCUCA